GGGGGAGAAGGGGAGAGGUGGAGAAGUAGUGCAGAUAGAUAGAUACCCCUGGCAUGUGAGUUCAGUUCAAAAGAAGAAGUGAUUACGAAGGACAGUGGAUAGUAGCCUUCCGCACGUCAUUACAAAGGGCAGGGCAGGAGGCGUAGAAGUGAGAUACAAGGUCCAAAAAUGAAUAUGACAAGCUGGCAGCAAUCGUUUGGCCAACUCGCAGCUUAUUCAUCGCAAAGCUGGCAAAGCUGCAGAGUUGACUCAGCACAUUUUAUUGAUGACUCGGGGCAACUCUCCACUGAUGACCUUCCCCCUCUGCCCGUCACGCCGCGUUCUCUGCUCUGACUUGGCUCGACUUCCUUUCGGAGUCUGAAGGUGCACAGGCCGAUCAGCUGAUGAACUUCUGCUUUUUGACCCAGCAGCUACCAAGGAAACAGGUGGAAGAGGAGGAGGGAUAGAGAGGGAGUGAGGGAUGGACUGACUUUAUACCACUGUCUGGGCUCUGACAAUGGGUUUCGCUGUCAAAUUAAUUGCUUGCCAUCACUUUGAUUAAUGCAUUAAACAGGCCUGAUCACGUUUACGCUGGGCUAUUCACACGUUCACACAUUCUUUCUUUUGUGUCAAAUCAAAUCAAAUCAACAUGGCCCUUUAGUUGUUGUUUUAGCCUACCUGUUGUUGGUGGUGAUUGCUUUAGUUUUGGGCUAUUAUGUUAGGCAUUGUUGUUGAUGAUGAUGAUGAUGAUGAUGAUGAUGAUGUUUCUUCUUCCUCGUUUAAUCAUCUGGCGCGGAAGGAAACAGUGGGAUUCGAAUGUAUGAUUAAUCACUGAGAAAUGAUUUGAAGGAUCUUGAGGACUCUAAGUCACUUAUAAUUGCAUCACUAUCCUAUGUUAUUGUUGUAUUGUUAUUGAUAAUAUAGUUGUUAUGGUAAACAAUCUUGACGCAUGAGUACCUCAUGAUUUACGACACACAAGGAGAUCUCUGCAUUGAAUAGUUGAAAUUGAUGAGGAAUCCCAAAAUCGGUUACACAGCCCCCUCCUGUGGUCAUUAUUUGCUUCACGCCUUCAACGUUGGCAAAUUAACGCUUCAUUACGUCAUUAUGCUUAUUGUGGUAUUUUGCUUUUGUGUUCAGUGUUCCUGAUUGGCAGAGUUUGUUCUAAACGUACAAUUAAAUGACCCAUUUCAGCA